rnacentral:rRNA from 1 species
GGAAGGGGCGAGCGUUGUUCGGAAUUAUUGGGCGUAAAGGGCGCGUAGGCGGUUUCGUAUGUCCGCUGUGAAAGUGCACGGCUCAACCGUGAAGGGUCGGUGGAAACUGCGAAACUUGAGGCUGGGAGGGGCUGGUGGAAUUCCCUGUGUAGCGGUGAAAUGCGCAGAUAUAGGGGAGAACACUCGUGGCGAAGGCGGCCAGCUGGACCAGUUCUGACGCUGAGGCGUGAGAGCGUGGGGAGCAAACAGGGAUUAGAUACCCUGGUAGUCCACGCCGUAAACGAUGGGCACUAGGUGUUGGCGGGUUCUAUCUCGCCAGUGCCGGCGCUAACGCAGUAAGUGCCCCCGCCUGGGGAGUACGGUCGCAAGGCUG